rnacentral:rRNA from 1 species
UACGUAGGGUGCAAGCGUUGUCCGGAAUUAUUGGGCGUAAAGAGCUCGUAGGCGGUUUGUUGCGUCGGCUGUGAAAACCUGAGGCUCAACCUCAGGCCUGCAGUCGAUACGAGCAGACUAGAGUGUUGCAGGGGAGACUGGAAUUCCUGGUGUAGCGGUGAAAUGCGCAGAUAUCAGGAGGAACACCGGUGGCGAAGGCGCUCAUCGUCGGCCAAUACUGACGCUGAGGCGACGAAAGCGUAGGGGUAGCAACGGG